AAGUCGUAACAAGGUUUCCGUAGGUGAACCUGCGGAAGGAUCAUUAUCUAUUCAGAUCUAUCGGGGAGGGCUGUAAGACUUAAGUGAUCAAAAAUCAUUACACGCCUGCCCUCCUGUCAGGACCCUUGUCUUUUGCGUACCUAUGUUUCCUCGGCGGGCUUGCUCGCCGAUAGGACAACCUUAUAACCCUUUUAAUUUUUAAAUCAGCGUCUGAAAAAUCUUAAUAAUUACAA
rnacentral:misc_RNA from 1 species